rnacentral:misc_RNA from 1 species
GAUGAAGAACGCAGCGAAAUGCGAUAAGUAGUGUGAAUUGCAGAAUUCAGUGAAUCAUCGAAUCUUUGAACGCACAUUGCGCCCCUUGGUAUUCCAUGGGUCAUGCCUGUUCGAGCGUCAUUUGUACCUUCAAGCUCUGCUUGGUGUUGGGUGUUUGUCUCGCCUCUGCGUGUAGACUCGCCUCAAAACAAUUGGCAGCCGGCGUAUUGAUUUCGGAGCGCAGUACAUCUCGCGCUUUGCACUCAUAACGACGACGUCCAAAAGUACAUUUUUACACUCUUGACCUCGGAUCAGGUAGGGAUACCCGCUGAACUUAAGCAUAUCAAUAAGCGGAGGA